GACGAACGCUGGCGGCGUGCUUAACACAUGCAAGUCGAACGGUGAAGGGAUCAGCUUGCUGGUUCUGGAUGAGUGGCGAACGGGUGAGUAACACGUGAGUAACCUGCCCCCUUCUUCUGGAUAACCGCAUGAAAGUGUGGCUAAUACGGGAUAUUCUGCGCCUGCUGCAUGGUGGGUGUGGGAAAGAUAUUGUUUCGGUGGGGGAUGGGCUCGCGGCCUAUCAGCUUGUUGGUGGGGUGAUGGCCUACCAAGGCGGUGACGGGUAGCCGGCCUGAGAGGGUGGACGGUCACACUGGGACUGAGACACGGCCCAGACUCCUACGGGAGGCAGCAGUGGGGAAUAUUGCACAAUGGGCGCAAGCCUGAUGCAGCGACGCCGCGUGAGGGAUGGAGGCCUUCGGGGUGUGAACCUCUUUCGCCAGUGAAGCAGGUCUGUCCCUUGUGGGUGGGUUGACGGUAGCUGGAGAAGAAGCGCCGGCUAACUACGUG
rnacentral:rRNA from 1 species